GAAGCUUUUAGCUUGCUAGAAGUGGAUUAGUGGCGCACGGGUGAGUAAGGUAUAGUUAAUCUGCCCUACACAAGAGGACAACAGUUGGAAACGACUGCUAAUACUCUAUACUCCUGCUUAACACAAGUUGAGUAGGGAAAGUUUUUCGGUGUAGGAUGAGACUAUAUAGUAUCAGCUAGUUGGUAAGGUAAUGGCUUACCAAGGCUAUGACGCUUAACUGGUCUGAGAGGAUGAUCAGUCACACUGGAACUGAGACACGGUCCAGACUCCUACGGGAGGCAGCAGUAGGGAAUAUUGCGCAAUGGGGGAAACCCUGACGCAGCAACGCCGCGUGGAGGAUGACACUUUUCGGAGCGUAAACUCCUUUUCUUAGGGAAGAAUUCUGACGGUACCUAAGGAAUAAGCACCGGCUAACUCCGUGCCAGCAGCCGCGGUAAUACGGAGGGUGCAAGCGUUACUCGGAAUCACUGGGCGUAAAGGGCGCGUAGGCGGAUUAUCAAGUCUCUUGUGAAAUCUAAUGGCUUAACCAUUAAACUGCUUGGGAAACUGAUAGUCUAGAGUGAGGGAGAGGCAGAUGGAAUUGGUGGUGUAGGGGU
rnacentral:rRNA from 1 species